UGGGGAAUUUUGGACAAUGGGCGCAAGCCUGACACAGCCAUGCCGCGUGCGGGAAGAAGGCCUUCGGGUUGUAAACCGCUUUUGUUAUGGGAGAAAAGGCUCUGGUUAAUACCUGGGACUCAUGACGGUACCUGAAGAAUAAGCACCGGCUAACUACGUGCCAGCAGCCGCGGUAAUACGAAGUGUGCAAGCGUUAAUCGGAAGUACUGGGCGUAAAGCGUGCGCAGGCGGUUAUGCAAGACAGAGGUGAAAUCCCCGGGCUCAACAUGGGAACUGCCUUUGUGACUGCAUAGCUAGAGUACGGUAGAGGGGGAUGGAAUUCCGCGUGUAGCAGUGAAAUGCGUGGAUAUGCGGAGGAACACCUAUAGAGAAGGCAAUCCCCUGGACCUGUACGGACGCUCAUGCACGAAAGCGUGGGGAGCAAACAGG
rnacentral:rRNA from 1 species